rnacentral:hammerhead_ribozyme from 1 species
AUCCAGCUGACAAGUCUCACAUAGGAGAAAACACGUGUCCUGAAU